rnacentral:rRNA from 1 species
UACGGGGGGGGCAAGCGUUGUUCGGAAUUACUGGGCGUAAAGGGCGUGUAGGUGGCCAACUAAGUCCGACGUGAAAUCCCCAGGCUUAACCUGGGAACUGCGUCGGAUACUGGAUGGCUUGAAUUCGGGAGAGGGAUGCAGAAUUCCAGGUGUAGCGGUGAAAUGCGUAGAUAUCAGGAGGAACACCGGUGGCGAAGGCGCACAUCUGGCCCGAUACUGACGCUGAAGCGCGAAAGCUAGGGGAGCAAACGGG